rnacentral:rRNA from 1 species
AACGAACGCUGGCGGCAUGCCUAACACAUGCAAGUCGAACGAGACCUUCGGGUCUCGUGUCGCACGGGUGCGUAACGCGUGGGAACCUGCCCUUAGGUUCGGAAUAACUUCCCGAAAGGGGUGCUAAUACCGGCUAAUGUCUUCGGACCAAAGAUUUAUCGCCUUUGGAUGGGCCCGCGUUGGAUUAGCUAGUUGGUAGGGUAAAAGCCUACCACGGCGACGAUCCAUAGCUGGUCUGAGAGGAUGAGCAGCCACACUGGGACUGAGACACGGCCCAGACUCCUACGGGAGGCAGCAGUGGGGAAUAUUGGACAAUGGGCGAAAGCCUGAUCCAGCAAUGCCGCGUGAGUGAUGAAGGCCUUAGGGUUGUAAAGCUCUUUUACCCGGGAUGAUAAUGACAGUACCGGGAGAAUAAGCGCCGGCUAACUCCGUG